rnacentral:ncRNA from 1 species
UUAACUACUUACAGUAGUGUAAACUUGAUUUUUAUUUUGAUUUUUAUAUAAAGAAAUCAAUUUAUAGUUAUUAGAAUAAUAAAUGAAAAACUUGGCUCUGAUUUGUUAAUAUGGCAUAAACUAAAAAAUACACAUGGUUUUUUUUGAAAGAGACGAGGUAAAAAGGGAACAGCUAUAAGUGUAUAACUUUAUAGCUUGUUUUUUUUAUAAGAUACUAUAGUUAUAUAGGAUGUCUUGAAAAGUCCCGUUAACACCAGUGUUGAAGAUUAAUUUUAAAGCGGAAGCUUGUGUUAAUUUAGUGAAAUAAAUUUGGUCAACUUGGUGCCAGCAUCCGCGGUUACACCAAGAAAUUAAGUCAUAUAGAAAGGUGAAAAGACAGUUAAAUUUACUUGGAAAUUAUAUAACUUUUUGUAAAAAAGUAAAAUUUGAAUACAAAUUUCUAAUCUAAUAAUAAUUUAAUAGGUUGAAGCUGUGAAAGCCUCGAGGGAAACUGGGAUUAGAUACCCCAUUAUUCUUGGUCAUAAAUUAAUAAACAAUAUAUUUACCGGAGUACUAUGAAUACUAUAAAAUUUAAAACUCAAAGGGCUUGGCGGUGUUUUAGACCACUCAGGGGAACCUGUCUCAUAAUCGAUAAUCCACGAUAAACCUGACCUUUUUUUGUACUCAGCUUGUAUACCGUUGUCGUCAGGUAACUUUUUAGAAAUUAGAAGUUAGCUAUUAGUUUCUAAGCUGAAACGUCAAAUCAAGGUGCAGUUUAUAGAAAGGGGAAGAUGGGUUACAAUUAUAAAAUUAUAAUACGAAGAGUCAUUAGAAUUAAAGACAUGAAGGAGGACUUGAAAGUAAAAUAGAUUAUAUAAAUACUUUGAAUGCGGCUCUGAAACGUGCACACAUCGCCCGUCGCUCUUGUUGGAAAAUAAGAUAAGUCGUAACAUAGUAGGGGUAAUGGAAAUUGUUCCUGAACU